rnacentral:rRNA from 1 species
AGAGCGAACGCUGGCGGCAGGCCUAACACAUGCAAGUCGAGCGCCCGUAGCAAUACGGGAGCGGCAGACGGGAUAGUAACACGUGGGAACGCGCCCUUCGGUUCGGAAUAACUCAGGGAAACUUGAGCUAAUACCGGAUACGCCCUUACGGGGAAAGAUUUAUUGCCGAAGGAACGGCCCGCGUCCGAUUAGCUAGUUGGUGAGGUAAUGGCUCACCAAGGCGACGAUCGGUAGCUGGUCUGAGAGGAUGACCAGCAUCACUGGGACUGAGACACGGCCCAGACUCCUACGGGAGGCAGCAGUGGGGAAUAUUGGACAAUGGGCGCAAGCCUGAUCCAGCCAUGCCGCGUGGAUGAUAAAGGCCUUAGGGUUGUAAAGUCCUUUUAACGGGAAGAUAAUGACGGUACCCGUAGAAUAAGCCCCGGCUAACUUCGCGCCAGCAGCCGC